GACGAACGCUGGCGGCGUGCUUAACACAUGCCAGUCGAACGGGAAGGCCCUGCUUUUGUGGUAUGCUCGAGUGGCGAAAGGGUGAGUAACACGUGGGUAUCCUGCCCUUGACUUUGGGAUAACUUCAGGAAACUGGGGCUAAUACCGGAUAGGAGCUCCUGCUGCAUGGUGGGGGUUGGAAAGUUUCGGUGGUUGGGGAUGGACUCACGGCUUAUCUGCUUGUUGGUGGGGUAGUGGCUUACCUAGGCUGUGACGGGUAGCAGGCGGGAGAGGGUGACCGGCCACAUGGGGACUGAGAUACGGCCCAGACUCCUACGGGAGGCAGCAGUGGGGAAUAUUGCACAAUGGGCGGAAGCCUGAUGCAGCAACGCCGCGUGCGGGAUGACGGCCUUCGGGUUGUAAACCGCUUUCGCCUGUGACGAAGCGUGAGUGACGGGAAUGGGUAAAGAAGCACCGGCUAACUACGUG
rnacentral:rRNA from 1 species